GCAGAUCAGUCUGUCAUUUUUCCAAGUCGCCGUGUUUUUGUUUUCUUUCUUAGAAAUGGAAGAAAAAACGAUUCAAACAGUUUCUUCUCCUGUGGAUUGCAUGUCUUGUAGAUUGAUUGGAGGCACCAGUUUACUAGGUGCAAGUGCUUACGUUUUUUUCCGUGGUAUGAAAGGAAAGCUCAUGUAUACCCGAGUAAUAACUGCAGUUUUUGGAACAAGUUUGGGAUACGUAGGAGUUGCAAGAUUGCUGAAUAUUUAUCCUUUCAAUUCAUUGAAGCCAAAAAACACAUGAUUUUAACUGUGAUUUGAUUGCUGAAAAUUUACUUGAAAUGUAUAUUAUUGAUAACUUGAAGUUUAUUUGAGACAUUUUGAUUCGUCCAGAAGUUUUAUUAAUUAGAAAAAUUUUACAAAAUGAGAUUACCGGGGAGAUAAGUGCAUGUAAAUGCAAAUUAACAUAUGUUUCUAUUAGCAACUGUAGUUCUCUAGCUCAUUUUCAAAUAAAUGCAUAUUUGAUCUA